CAGGGGAGUUUGUAAGGCACAGAAAAGAACUUGCAAACUGAGAACAUAACACAGGUGGUUGAGAUUUUGCAGGGAUUGGGAGCUAGAUUAUUAAAUGCACUUGGCACAUCUCUGUACCUGCCUAGAGGGAUUUUCCAAAGCAACAUGAAGUAACAGAAACAUGCCAUUCUUUUUACCUAAGUUUGGAUGUCUGAUCAGCUAACUAACUAGUCUCUCUCUGGAAAGAGAUAAGAACUUCCAGAUUUCAUUGCAUGGAAAGAUAGGUGCAUGAGACAAAGUGGGUUGGAAUUCAUUUCAUUGUAUGAAGAAAGAAAGACAAAAUUAAUUUGAGGAAACCCCUGCUUGUAUUUCUACCAUUAAGACAAAAAUGUGGAAUUGUGUAAUUCGGAGAUGAUGGGAAGACUACAGUUGUCAAAACACAUUUUUUUCUGCUAGAUGGUGGUUAUCUUUUUCCUAGUGGCUUCUGACCCUGGCCUCCUGUCCUACUCAUACUGAUUAUCAGCCAGAUGCUUACUGCCAUGCCUACUAUCUAUGAGUAGACCUAGUUGAAGAAAAAUACAAAUCCAGGCAAAGGUUGGCAUACAUGUCAAGAGAACAUUCUCCAGCUGGGGCCUGCAGUAUAGAGAAUUGUAUACUCCAGAGGGCUCAUGGGACCUUGGGCAGAUUAUUAUGGUAAUAUUGGAGACUGCUGUCCUUUCCCUCCCACAGCUGGGCCGCCUCUCUCAUUGUAAGUAUUGAAGCAAUAUGUUUUGCAAAUUAUACACUGGGAACAACAGGGACCUGGGAAAGUGA
rnacentral:lncRNA from 1 species